UAGAGGAAGUAAAAGUCGUAACAAGGUCUCCGUAGGUGAACCUGCGGAGGGAUCAUUACACAAAUAUGAAGGCAGAUUGGGUAGUCCCCGCUUUUGGGGGUUUGCCCAUUCUGGCGCCAUAUUCACCCAUGUCUUUUGCGUACUACUUGUUUCCUUGGCGGGCUCGCCCGCCAAUUGGACUUUAUUCAAACCUUUUUUUUAUUGCAAUCAGCGUCAGCAAAACAAUGUAAUCAAUUACAACUUUCAACAACGGAUCUCUUGGUUCUGGCAUCGAUGAAGAACGCAGCGAAAUGCGAUAAGUAGUGUGAAUUGCAGAAUUCAGUGAAUCAUCGAAUCUUUGAACGCACAUUGCGCCCUUUGGUAUUCCAAAGGGCAUGCCUGUUCGAGCGUCAUUUGUACCCUCAAGCUUUGCUUGGUGUUGGGCGUCUUUUGUCUCUCCCCCGAGACUCGCCUUAAAAACAUUGGCAGCCGGCCUACUGGUUUCGGAGCGCAGCACAUUAUUUGCGCUCUUGUCCAGCCGCGGUCGCGCGUCCAUGAAGCCUUUUUUUUCAACCUUUUGACCUCGGAUCAGGUAGGGAUACCCGCUGAACUUAAGCAUA
rnacentral:rRNA from 1 species